rnacentral:lncRNA from 1 species
CGAGCUUAAUAAUGAUCUUGGAGGGUACUAUGGUGUUGAAGGGUGAGCUAUAGUCAAUGAACAGCAUUCUUACAUAGGUAUUCCUCUUCUCCAAAUGGGAUAGGGUAGUGUGCAGUGUUAUGGCAAAUUGCAUCGUCUGUGGACCUAUUGGGGAGGUAAGCAAAUUGAUGUGGGUCUAGGGUGACAGGUAAGGUAGAAGUGAUAUGAUCCUUGACUAGUCUCUCAAAGCACUUCAUGAUGACAGAAGUGAGUGCUAUGGGGCGAUAGUCAUUUAGUUCAGUUACCUUUGCCUUCUUGGGUACAGGAACAAUGGUGGCCAUCUUGAAACAUGUGGGGACAAUAGACUGGGAUAGGGAGAGAUUGAAUAUGUCCGAAAAACACUCCAGCCAACUGGUCUGCGCAUUCUCUGAGGAUACGGCUAGGGCAGCCUUGCAAGGUAUAAAAUGCUUAUAUGUCUUACUUACAUCGGCCACGGAGAACGAGAGCCCACGGUCCUUGGGAGCAGGCCGCUUUGGUGGCACCGUGUUAUCUCAAAAGCGGGCGAAGAAGGUGUUUAGCUUGUCUGGGAGCAAGAUGUCGUUGUCCGCGACGUGGCUGGUUUUCCCUUUGUAAUCCAUGAUUGUCUGUAGACCCUGCCACAUACGUCUUGUGUCUGUGCCGUUGAAUUGCAACUCCACAUUGUCUCUGUACUGCCGUUUUGCCUGUUUGAUUGUAUUACAGAAGGAAUAACUGCACUGUUUGUAUUCAACCAUAUUCCCAGUCAUCUUGCCCUGGUUAACUGCGGUGGUUCGCUCUUUCAGUUUUGCACGAAUGCUGCCAUCUGUCCAUGGUUUCUGGUUUGGGUAGGUUUUAAUAGUCACAUUGGGAACAACACCCCCUAUACACUUACUGAUGAACUCAGUCACCUUGUCCAUUUACACGGCAAUGGUAUUCACAGAGUCACCCGAAAAAUAUCCCAGUCCGCGUGAUGAAACAAUCUUGAAACAUGGAUUCUGAUUGGUCAGACCAGCAUUGAAUAGACCUUAGCACGGAUAUUCUUGUUUGAUUUUCUGCCUAUAGGAAGGGAGGAGCAAAAUGCAGUCGUGAUCUGAUUUGCCAAAGGGAGGGCGGGGGAGGGCCUUGUAGGCAUCCUGGAAGGGGGAGUAGCAGUGGUCGAGCAUUUUACCAGCGAGUACUACAGUCAAUGUGUUCAUAGAACUUUGGUAGAGUUCUCCUCAAAUUUGCUUUGUUAAAAUACCCAGCUAGAAUAAAUGCGGCCUCAGGAUAAGUGGUUUCUAGUUUGCACAAAGUCCAGUGUAGUUCCCUGAGGGCAGUUGUGGUAUUGGCUUGAGGGGGAAUAUACACGGCUGUGACUAUAAACGAAAAUAAUUAUCUUGGGAGGUAAUAUGGUCUGCAUUUGAUUUUGAAGUAUUCUAGGUCGGGUGAAUAAAAGGACUUGAGUUUCUGUACAUUAUCACAAUCACACCAUGAGUAGUUAAUCAUUAAACAUACACCUCCACCUUUCUUCUUCUUGGAGAGUUCUUUAUUCCUGUGUUUGAUGCCGUUCCAUUUAUUCCAUUCCAGAUAUUACAAUGAGCUCAUCCUCGUAUAGCUCCUCCCAACCAGCCUCCUCUGGUGUCAGCGUAUAUUGAAACCUCCAAAACACGAUAUGUGCAGCGGAGACAGAGAGAGUGAAAGAGGGGAGAGAGAGGGAUAGCACAAGCACAGUGGAUAAAUAAGUAAAGGGAAAAGAGAUAUACAAAGAGAGGAGAAACGAGCCAAGAGGAGAGAGAUACAGAGAAAGAACGCAAGGAGACAAAGAAUAGAAAAAAUAAAGAGAGAGAAAAAAGAAGGGUGAGGAGGUGGUGAGAGAAUGAGAAGGAGCGCUAUCGAUCUUCCUCUCUGUUAUCUGUCAUACUAAAAGCAGCAGCC